AGAGUUUGAUCCUGGCUCAGGAUGAACGCUAGCGGCAGGCCUAAUACAUGCAAGUCGAACGGGAUCCACCAGCUUGCUGGUGGUGAGAGUGGCGCACGGGUGCGUAACGCGUGAGCAACCUGCCCGUCCCAGGGGGAUAGCCCCUCGAAAGAGGGAUUAACACCGCAUAACGUUGGUAGGUGGCCUCACUUACCGACCAAAUAUUUAUAGGGGACGGAUGGGCUCGCGUGACAUUAGCUAGUUGGUGGGGUAACGGCCCACCAAGGCGACGAUGUCUAGGGGCUCUGAGAGGAGAAUCCCCCACACUGGUACUGAGACACGGACCAGACUCCUACGGGAGGCAGCAGUAAGGAAUAUUGGUCAAUGGGCGGGAGCCUGAACCAGCCAUGCCGCGUGCAGGAGGACGGCCCUACGGGUUGUAAACUGCUUUUGCACGGGAACAAACCCCGGUACGUGUACCGGUUUGAGUGUACCGUGAGAAUAAGGAUCGGCUAACUCCGUGCCAGCAGCCGCGGUAAUACGGAGGAUCCAAGCGUUAUCCGGAUUUAUUGGGUUUAAAGGGUGCGUAGGCGGCGCGCUAAGUCAGUGGUGAAAGACGGUGGCUCAACCAUCGCAGUGCCGUUGAUACUGGCGCGCUUGAAUGCGGAUGAGGUAGGCGGAAUGUGGCAAGUAGCGGUGAAAUGCAUAGAUAUGCCACAGAACACCGAUUGCGAAGGCAGCUUACCAAGGCGCGAUUGACGCUGAUGCACGAAAGCGUGGGGAUCGAACAGGAUUAGAUACCCUGGUAGUCCACGCCCUAAACGAUGAUGACUCGGUGUCGGCGAUACACAGCCGGCGCCCAAGCGAAAGCGUUAAGUCAUCCACCUGGGGAGUACGCCCGCAAGGGUGAAACUCAAAGGAAUUGACGGGGGCCCGCACAAGCGGAGGAGCAUGUGGUUUAAUUCGAUGAUACGCGAGGAACCUUACCCGGGCUUGAAAGUU
rnacentral:rRNA from 1 species